GAUGAACGCUAGCGGCAGGCUUAACACAUGCAAGUCGAGGGGCAGCAUAAAUAGUAGCAAUACUAUUGGUGGCGACCGGCGGACGGGUGCGUAACGCGUAUACAACCUUCCCUAAACAGGGGGCUAAUCUGGAGAAAUUCGGUCUAAUACCCCAUAACAUCAGAGCAGGCAUCUGUUUUGGUUAAAAUUUCCGGAGGUUUAGGAUGGGUUUGCGUAGCAUUAGCUAGUUGGUGGGGUAACGGCUCACCAAGGCCACGAUGCUUAGGGGGACUGAGAGGUUAACCCCCCCCACACUGGUACUGAGACACGGACCAGACUCCUACGGGAGGCAGCAGUGAGGAAUAUUGGUCAAUGGGCGGAAGCCUGAACCAGCCAUGCCGCGUGCAGGAUGACGGCUCUAUGAGUUGUAAACUGCUUUUGUACGAGGGUAAAGUGGGCUACGUGUAGCCUUUUGAAAGUAUCGUACGAAUAAGGAUCGGCUAACUCCGUGCCAGCCGCCGCCGUAA
rnacentral:rRNA from 1 species